GACGAACGCUGGCGGCGUGCUUAACACAUGCAAGUCGAACGAAGUGGCGAACGGGUGAGUAAUACGUGGGUAACCUGCCCUCCUUUUUGGGAUAAGCCUUGGAAACGGGGUCUAAUACCGAAUAAAGGGGGAUGGGCUCGCGGCCUAUCAGCUGGUUGGUGGGUUGGUGACCUACCAAGGGGGGGACGGGUAGCCGGCCUGAGAGGGUGACCGGGCACAUUGAGACUGAGAUACGGCCCAGACUCCGAAGGGAGGCAGCAGUGGGGGAUAUUGCACAAAGGGCGAAAGACUGAUGCAGCGACGCCGCGUGGGGGAUGAAGGCUUUCGGGUUGUAAAACUCGUUCGCUAGCGAUCGGGUAGGUGGAGAAGAAGCGCCGGCUAACUACGUGCCAGCAGCCGCGGUAAUAC
rnacentral:rRNA from 1 species